UUUUUUUUUGAAGAUUUGAGGAUUUUUCGUUACAAAAUCAUCAACUGGCAAGGACGUGGUGAGGAUUUUUUACAAAGUUUCAAGUAGAACUCAUAUGAAGAAUUGAAUAGACUCGGUGAGAGUAGCAUAGAGGGAAACUAGGGUCCGAUCACAUUCACUUAGAUGAAAUAUCAAAUUUAAGAAAUAGCUAUAAGUGAAUGCUUUUG
rnacentral:lncRNA from 1 species